rnacentral:snRNA from 1 species
GGGCAAUUGGCAGAUCAAGCGUUUGUGUAGCGCUUGAUCUGCCAAUUGCCCUU